AUAAUAUUUUGUUGUCUCAUAUCCUGUAAUCGCCCACCAGUAUAAGCAACAAUUAAACUGGCUUCAAACCUGCACCAAAUGCUCACUUACCUGGUGUAACCCCUCCUCCGCACAAAAAAUUACGAUUCAGAGACCUUGAGCACUCCUCCUCAAUCCCAGCACAUACACACCAACAGAUGCCACCGUGACCAGGUGAGCCAGGUGAGCAGGAGGGAGAGCCGUACAAGCUCGCCUUUGAUCCCCAAGUUAGUGGACCACCAGCUUUGCUCCGAGGGCUCAUGACAGGACGAAAGAAGAAGAAGGAAAAAAAAAAAACACCCUCACCACUUUAUCACCGAACUUGAGUUAAACUUGACACGACUGACCCCGAAACUGUGUAUAGGUUCAUGCAUUACUAUCUCGCCUGCCUCUACCUGCUGGUGUGUGUAAGGUGAGCGACAUUUUACCUCAGCGGUUAAUCACUUCUGGACCCGCAGCUACUUACCUGAGUGCGAAACUAAAGGUCACAAGUUCACGAUGCCAUACUCUUCUCAGGUCGGGCUCCUGCUGGUGACGAUACUCACAUCACACGUCUGUGGUGAGGGGCCACACAAAAGCCUACCAGAUGUCGAGGGCAGACCUAACGAGGCGCUGAAAUCUUCCAAACAUUUCAGCAGCAACUUGCUUUUAAUCCUGACUUCCCCCGUGCUGCCAGCUCCACAGAAGCCUCCCAGACAAAGCAGAUGAGAGUGGUUGCAUCUGUCCUCCAGGCCACACCCAGCACCACCGCAGAUCGCAACAACACAGGAGACACAGCGUCAAACGCUUAUUUCAGCAACAAAAAUGUUUCUGGUUCCGAAAGAUCUGGAACCACAAUCAAGCCAGGUGUGUUCCUGGCAAUCAUUCUGUGCAUUGUUUGUCUUGUAACUGUUGCACACUUUAAGGUCGGUGACAGACUUCGAGAAGUGUCUUGGGUCGGAGCUACUUCAACGCGCGCGCGGUCGGUUAUGCUUUUAAUAAAGAAAUACACAGAGAAAAUGCUCCCAGGAGUGCCGAGGAGUUCCGGACACCGAGAACAUGUGUCACAUCAUGAAUUUAGGCGACCCUCAGAGGUGAAAGUUACCUCCCACUGGUGAGCAGGGGGGAUGAGCCGCACGUGGACGCUGACGUGUCAUAGC